AGUUAGCUGCUGGGAGGCUGCAGCAGUGAUCUCAGUGGCAGCAGCAGCAGUAAAUGAAAUGCCCUUUUCACAGCUGCCUUGCACUGGAACCCACAAAUAAGUCCGAGCGGUGCUCCUCGAGAGAACAGGGACGUGGACAGGCUGAGCAACCAUGUUGUCUGGGAUAAAGCCAGCACAAAGCUAACCUGAGUGGAUCUCAGAGCUAUGUUGGUCCAGUGGAGGAAGCCUGCAUUGUGCAGCUAUGGCAUCUUGCAUCUUUUAUGGCACUAGACCCUCAUACCACCAAGGUUGAAUGUGGGCUCUGAAUCCCAUUAUCUGAGGGAAGGGAAAACCUGAGGACAGCAGAGCCUUUGCCCCAGCCAGGAGCAUCCUUUUGUGAGUGACUGCAUCCUCGGACUGUGCUGAAGGCAGAUGGGGGUCCUGGCUGUUUCGACACCCCCUGAGCACUGCAUGCUCCGAUCUGGGGAAGCUGCUGAGUCCUCACCAGCUGGAAACACUUUGAAGAGCUGAGCUUUAUCCAGUGCUGUUUUUUUUCCUUCCCCUUUUUGACAGCAGCAGCAGGAGAGGCUGGGCUGGAGGAAAUGCAUCCAGUUUUCAGGAACGGAAGGAAUGGGAUCUGAGGCUGAGGAAUACAUUUCAGCCACAUCUGAAAAAGGACAGCAUAAAAAUAGGUGAAAACCACCUACUUUCUGGUUCAGCCUCCUCCAAAAGGAGUCACUUUUAGGAGGCAGAAGAAGAAACCCUCCCGUGUUUUGGCCAUGGGCUCCUCUAGCAGUGGGGUUUCCCCUACCUUGUAGAGCACAGAACUGACAACCUGAAUCGUGGCACUUACAGGAAGAUUUCAGCAACAGGACAUGGACUUUCAGCUGGCCAAGGCAUAAGAUUUCAAGCUGUGGAUGUGCAUUUAUAACCUUCACAUGUCUAUUACAUGACAGAUGCUGGGACCUGCAGCUGCUUUGGGACCUCCCAGCACGGAAGCACUCUGCUCUCCUAUCUCAAGUGGGAAUCAAGUGAGAUUUCAACCUUUGCAAAGUGGUUUCAGGCAAAAGACG
ensembl:lncRNA